GAGUUUGAUCAUGGCUCAGGGUGAACGCUGGCGGCGUGCCUAAUACAUGCAAGUCGAACGAAACUGAUGUUAGAAAUCAGAUGUCGAAGCGGUUUACCGUUUUUUAACUUCUGACCUCUAACUUCUGUUUAGUGGCGGACGGGUGAGUAACACGUUGGAACCUACCUUGAAGUGAGGCAUAACCUCGGGAAACCGGGGCUAAUACCUCAUGUGAUCUUCGGAUUAAAGACUUCGGUCGCUUCAAGAGGGUCCCGCGGUCGAUUAGCUAGUUGGUAGGGUAAUGGCCUACCAAGGCGAUGAUCGAUAGCUGGUCUGAGAGGAUGAUCAGCCACACUGGAACUGAGACACGGUCCAGACUCCUACGGGAGGCGGCAGUAGGGAAUCUUCCACAAUGGGCGAAAGCCUGAUGGAGCAACGCCGCGUGCAGGAUGACGGCCUUCGGGUUGUAAACUGCUUUUCUGAGGGAGGAUUAUGACAGUACCUCAAGAAUAAGGGUCGGCUAAUUCCGUGCCAGCAGCCGCGGUAACACGGAAGACCCAAGCGUUACCCGGAAUUACUGGGCGUAAAGCGUUGCGUAGGCGGCUAUACAAGUGAAAAGUGAAAUCUUGCGGCUCAACCGCAAGCUGGUUUUUCAAACUGUAUGGCUAGAGGACAGGAGAGGUAAGUGGAAUUUCUGGUGUAGGAGUGAAAUCCGUAGAUAUCAGAAGGAACACCGAUGGCGAAGGCAGCUUACUGGACUGUUCCUGACGCUGAGGCACGAAAGCGUGGGUAG
rnacentral:rRNA from 1 species